AACGAACGCUGGCGGCAGGCUUAACACAUGCAAGUCGAGCGCCCCGCAAGGGGAGCGGCAGACGGGUGAGUAACGCGUGGGAAUCUACCCAUCUCUACGGAAUAACGCAUGGAAACGGGUGCUAAUACCGUAUACGUCCUUCGGGAGAAAGAUUUAUCGGAGAUGGAUGAGCCGGCGUUGGAUUAGCUAGUUGGUGGGGUAAAGGCCUACCAAGGCGACGAUCCAUAGCUGGUCUGAGAGGAUGAUCAGCCACACUGGGACUGAGACACGGCCCAGACUCCUACGGGAGGCAGCAGUGGGGAAUAUUGGACAAUAGGCGCAAGCCUGAUCCAGCCAUGCAGCGUGAGUGAUGAAGGCCCUAGGGUUGUAAAGCUCUUUCACCGGUGAAGAUAAUGACGGUAACCGGAGAAGAAGCCCCGGCUAACUUCGUGCCAGCCGCCGCAGUAAAAC
rnacentral:rRNA from 1 species